UUCAAGUUUGUUCACCUCUUCUUGCAAGUUCUUCAUUAUGCACGAGACCUCGAAGACCAUAGCACAAUCUCCAUCCUUUUUCACUCAUUGAUCGAUAGGUUCCUCCAAAAAGUAUGGAGAAACAACUUCCAUUGUAUAAACCAAGAUUGUUUGCAGAAUCACAAAGUGUCAUGCUUCAAGUUUGUUCACCUCUUCUUGCAAGUUCUUCAUUAUGCACGAGACCUCGAAGACCAUAGCACAAUCUCCAUCCUUUUUCACUCAUUGAUCAAUAGGUUCCUCCAAAAAGUAUGGAGAAACAAGACUUUCAUUGUAUAAACCAAGAUUGUUUGCAGCAUCACAACGUGUCAUGCUUCAAGUUUGUUCACCUCUUCUUGCAAGUUCUUCAUUAUGCACGAGAGCUCGAAGACCAUAGCACAGUCUUCAUCCUUUUUCACUCAUUGAUCGAUAGGUUCCUCCAAAAAAAAUGGAGAAACAAGACUUUCAUUGUAUAAACCAAGAUUGUUUGCAGCAUCACAACGUAUCCUAACCUCAGGACGCGUGAAAGUGUUAUCUCUUGAAUUAAACCACACUAA
rnacentral:lncRNA from 1 species